UAAAGUGUUAUAACUUGGUAGUAACCAAUUAAUUGGUUACUACUUAGUUUUGUCUUGUGUCAUCUAUAAUAAUAACAACACAUUUUAACAUAUUAACACUAAAUAUAUCAAUUAUUGUAAAAGAAUUUUUUUUUUUUUAAUUUUUUUAUGGGAUCAACCGUAGUUUUGGUUCGUUUUAAAUUUGUUUAAAGGUUUUUAAACCAAAUUUCUAUAAAAUAAAAAUUUAUAAGAAAAAAAUGCUUUUUCUAUCAAAUUAUCAAGUGCAAUGAAUUUAUUACUAGAAGGGAUAGGAAAGCGAGAAUGUAAUGCUACGAGUAACAAUAACGAGAAAUUCCAAAAGCCUUUAACCGAUACGGUUAUGAGUACACGGAAGAAGGAACCUUUAGGAGUUAGAGAAAAAGGCCUUGAUCAUAGGAAGCCCGAAAUGUGUACAAAAAAAAAAGGUAAUAUAAGAAAUAGUUAAGAGGAGCUCGUAUUUGUUGCGUUUCUUUUACGGUAUACUUGAAAAAUAGAAAACAAAUAAAUCACUUAUGUAUACUUGGUUGAACCCGCAGAAGGUAUAAGAAGACCCUACGAAACAACGGAAGGAAGUAUUAAAAAAAACGCCAAACAAAGUUAUUGUAUAGCUUGGAUAAUACAACAGCGGAUAAAUAUCAGCUAAACCGCAGUGGCAAAACAAAAUAGUGUUGGUGGAACAUUAUAGUUAUGGUUUCAAAACUACCUGAGUAGAACGGUUGGUUUAUUCGUAGUAUUUUAUCAAUAUUCCAACAUAUGAAAUUCAAAAGCGUCAUAAGUAAUAACUUUUUUUAUCCAGAAUCGAAAAUAAUUAAAA